GCAACAUCAACUUCUCGCGCAAGAACCGCGUGGUGUUCCUGUCCAUGCUGGGCAACUCGUGGUUCUGGUUCUACGGCGCGCUGGUGCUGGCGCAGUUCCCGGUGUACGCCAAGGACUACCUG
rfam:Janthinobacterium sp. HH01 Jab_2c, whole genome shotgun sequence.